AUGGAGCUUUAGACACCAAGGUAGCCCACGUUAAAGACCCUGAACAAAGGACUAAACCAAGUGAACCCUGCCCUAAUGUCUUUGGUUGGGGCGACCGCGGGGAAAUAAAGAACCCCCACGUGGAACGGGAACACUCUUCCUACAACUAAGAGCUACAGCUCUAGUAAACAGAACUUCUGACCAGCAAGAUCCGGCAAUGCCGAUCAACGGACCG
rnacentral:rRNA from 1 species